CCCGCUGAACUUAAGCAUAUCACUAAGCGGAGGAAAAGAAAUUAACUAAGAUUGCCCCAGUAACGGCGAGUGAAGCGGCAAAAGCCCAAAGUGGAAAUCUUCACACAUCGUGUGACGAAUUGUAAUCUAAAGGGUAGUAGCUCAAAAGGAGGUGGCGCAGAAGUGCCUUAGAACGGGCCGCCAGAGAGGGUGACAGCCCCGUAUGUGGUGCCAUUGCCUAACGAGCUCUGCUUAAAGAGUCGGGUUGUUUUGAAUUGCAGCCCUAAUAGGAGAUAGACUUCUUCUAAGGCUAAAUAUUUAUGGGAAACCGAUAGCGAACAAGUACUGUGAAGGAAAGAUGAAAAGAACUUUGAAAAGAGAGUCAAAAGACUUGAAAUCGUUGAGAAGGAAGCGGUAGAAAUUUAUUCUUCUGGUGAUAACAAAGUGUUUGUCUAGCGUAUUGGGGCAAAUCAGUACGUCAAAGGCUGACUGUUCCACGUGCGUUAACGAUUGCGGAGUUCUCACUAGUGAGGCAAAAUGAGGCUUCGUUCCCACAAAAGCUGCACAAACCUGGCUUUACGGCAGUUUGGGUGUGCUAGUGGGCGCGGUGCCUGAGGGGCUUAUGCGAUUUUGCCAAAAUGGUUUUUACCGACCCGUCUUGAAACACGG
rnacentral:rRNA from 1 species